CGUGCGGGCGACCGGUGCCAAACCCGGGCAAGAUGGCGGUGGCGGCCCAUGUUGCCUUUAUCUAAAUCUGCCAGUGAUUAGCCUCCUAAAGAUUAACCUAAAACGCCUGGCUUAACCUGCAAAAAUACAAUCGAAUAAAAGCUGUUGUGGAUUGCAGAAUCUAUAAAUGAAAAAUUGCAUGUCAUUUUAAAGUUUUGUCUUUACUGCAGGGCCAAUGCGAGUUCUUCGCCGAGUCGGCCCAGCUUCCUGCAUGGCAGUGGUAGCAUCUCGUAUUGGAGAUACUCCUGAGCAAGAAUAAAUGCUUAUUACUGAAAUGGCAUAAGUAAAAUUUAGAGGGGAAUAUUUUAAUACUUUUGCAAGGUAACGUACAAAAGGAUCUACGCCUUGGACCAGGAACUGGCGCCAUUAUGGUUACAAGUCCAUCUCACCAGCCUCUAUAUCGCCCUCUGCCUGCACACUGAGGGAACCACAUACCUUCCAGAUGAAGCUUUAGCUGGUCGACAACGAUAUGGCGGUGAGAGCAGGCGAGCGUGACGUGCUCCUGCCCCUCGUUAGGGGCGAUAGGACUGGAACGUGCCAGCAGUGACGAGGAGAAAGUCAAAGGCACAUCUGCCGGUCUGCGUACGGAGAGUCAGCUGGGACAAACCUCUAUGGUACUGUUCCUCUGAAAGCAAGGACCAAGGACGUGAACUCAACGUGAGCAGCGACAGGGAGCAAUGAAGAAAAAAACAAGAUCGGAAUGACAUGAAACAUUUCAGUCCAUUAAACUUCAGAUGUGCUGCUA